CAGGCUUGACAUGCAGCUGCAGGCGGCGGAAACGUCGCGGCCUUCGAGGGUGCUGCACAGGUGCUGCAUGGUUGUCGUCAGCUCGUGUCGUGAGAUGUUGGGUUAAGUCCCGCAACGAGCGCAACCCGUACCGCUAGUUACUGGUGUCUAGCGGGACUGCCGCGUUUUGCGCGGAGGAAGGCGCGGAUGACGUCAAAUCCGCAUGGCCCUUACGCCUGGGGCGACACACACGCUACAAUGGCCAGGACAGUGCGUCGCCAACCCGCAAGGGGGAGCAAAUCGCCCAAACCUGGUCUCAGUGCAGAUCGAGGGCUGCAACUCGCCCUCGUGAAGGCGGAGUUGCUAGUAACCGCGUAUCAGCGAUGGCGCGGUGAAUACGUUCCCGGGCCUUGUACACACCGCCCGUCACGUCAUGGGAGUGGCCAAUGCUUGAAGUCCGUGGGCUAACCCUUCGGGGAGGCAGCGGCCGAGGGCAGGGGUCGCGACUGGGACGAAGUCGUAACAAGGUAGCCGUACCGGAAGGUGCGGCUGGAUCACCUCCUUUCUA
rnacentral:rRNA from 1 species